UGCCCUUGAGGCGUGGCUUCCGGAGCUAACGCGUUAACUCGACCGCCUGGGGAGUACGGCCGCAAGGUUAAAACUCAAAUGAAUUGCCGGUGGCCCGCACAAGCGGUGGAGCAAGUGGUUUAAUUCGAUGCAACGCGAAGAACCUUACCUGGUCUUGACAUCCACAGAACUUACCAGAGAUGGAUUGGUGCCUUCGGGAACUGUGAGACAGGUGCUGCAUGGCUGUCGGCAGCUCGUGUUGUGAAAUGUUGGGUUAAGUCCCGCAACGAGCGCAACCCUUAUCC
rnacentral:rRNA from 1 species